GCACCUAUAGCUCAACUGGAUAGAGCAACACACUCCUAACGUGUAGAUGUCGGUUCAAGUCCGACUGGGUGCG
rnacentral:tRNA from 1 species